rnacentral:rRNA from 1 species
AGCAGCCGCGGUAAUUCCAGCUCCAAUAGCGUAUAUUAAAGUUGUUGUGGUUAAAAAGCUCGUAGUUGAACCUUGGGCCUGGCUGGCCGGUCCGCCUCACCGCGUGUACUGGUCCGGCCGGGCCUUUCCCUCUGUGGAACCCCAUGCCCUUCACUGGGUGUGGCGGGGAAACAGGACUUUUACUUUGAAAAAUUAGAGUGCUCCAGGCAGGCCUUUGCUCGAAUACAUUAGCAUGGAAUAAUAAAAUAGGACGUGCGGUUCUAUUUUGUUGGUUUCUAGGACCGCCGUAAUGAUUAAUAGGGACAGUCGGGGGCAUCAGUAUUCAAUUGUCAGAGGUGAAAUUCUUGGAUUUAUUGAAGACUAACUACUGCGAAAGCAUUUGCCAAGGAUGUUUUCAUUAAUCAGGAACGAAAGUUAGGGGAUCGAAGACGAUCAGAUACCGUCGUAGUC